rnacentral:pre_miRNA from 1 species
UGCUGAAAAAGGUGAUGAGGAUGAUAAUGAUGAUGAUGAUGUUGGUGAUUUGAAAGAGGGAUUUUUCUGCCAUAAAUAGCAAUAGCGCGGGAAUCCUUUUGCAAUAUGGCUAAAUAGGCAUUAGUAUUGGGCCUGGCCCAGCCAUCAUCAUCAUCAUCAUUGUAGUCGUCAUCAUUAUCA